rnacentral:rRNA from 1 species
UACGGGGGGGGCAAGCGUUGUUCGGAUUUACUGGGCGUAAAGGGCGCGUAGGCGGUCAGCACAAGUCAGUUGUGAAAUCUCCGGGCUUAACUCGGAAAGGUCAACUGAUACUGUGCGACUAGAGUGCAGAAGGGGCAACUGGAAUUCUCGGUGUAGCGGUGAAAUGCGUAGAUAUCAAGAGGAACACCUGAGGCGAAGGCGGGUUGCUUGGCUGACACUGACGCUGAGGCACGAAAGCUAGGGUAGCAAACGGG